rnacentral:rRNA from 1 species
UUACCCGCUGGACUUAAGCAUAUCAAUAAGCGGAGGAAAAGAAACCAACAGGGAAUGCCUCCCCCACGGCAAGUGAAGCGGCAUCAGCUCAAAUUUGAAAUCUGGCUCUUUUAGGGUCCGAAUUGUAAUUUGCAGAGGAAGCUUUGGUGCGGUCUUAGUCUAAGUUCCUUGGAACAGGACAUCACAGAGGGUGAGAAUCCCGUAUGUGGCUAAAGACCUUAACCAUGUAAAGCUCUUUCAACGAGUCGAGUUGUUUGGGAAUGCAGCUCUAAAUGGGAGGUAAAUUUCUUCUAAAGCUAAAUAUUGGCCAGAGACCGAUAGCGAACAAGUAGAGUGAUCGAAAGAUGAAAAGCACUUUGGAAAGAGAGUUAAAUAGUAUGUGAAAUUGUUGAAAGGGAAGCGCUUGCAAUCAGACUUGUUUGUAGGAGUUCAACUUGGCUUUUGUCUUGUGUAUUCUCCUAUUUGCAGGCCAGCAUCAGUUUGGGUGAUAGGAUAAAGAUCUUUGGAAUGUGGCCUUUUUUCUUCGGAAUUGAGGUGUUAUAGCCUUUGAUGUCAUACUACCAACCUGGACUGAGGAACGCACUUUUUGUACGGAUGCUGGCGUAAUGGUUGUAAGCGGCCCGUCUUGAAACACGGACCAAGGAGUCUAACAUCUAUGCGAGUGUUUGGGUGUCAAGCCCGCACGCGUAAUGAAAGUAAAUGGAGGUGGGAACCCUUACGGGUGCACCAUCGACCGAUCCUGAUGUCUUCGGAUGGAUUUGAGUAAGAGCAUAGCUGUUGGGACCCGAAAGAUGGUGAACUAUGCCUGUGUAGGCUGAAGUCAGAGGAAACUCUGAUGGAAGGUCGCAGCGGUUCUCACGUGCAAAUCCAUCGUCAAACAUGGGUAUAGGGGCGAAAGACUAAUCGAACCACCUAGUAGCUGGUUCACCCCGAAGUUCCCCCCGACUA